CCUACGGGAGGCAGCAGUGGGGAAUAUUGGACAAUGGGGGCAACCCUGAUCCAGCCAUGCCGCGUGUGUGAAGAAGGCCCUCGGGUUGUAAAGCACUUUCAGUGAGGAAGAACGCCUGGUGGUUAAUACCCAUCAGGAAAGACAUCACUCACAGAAGAAGCACCGGCUAACUCCGUGCCAGCAGCCGCGGUAAUACGGAGGGUGCGAGCGUUAAUCGGAAUUACUGGGCGUAAAGCGCGCGUAGGUGGCUUGAUAAGCCGGUUGUGAAAGCCCCGGGCUCAACCUGGGAACGGCAUCCGGAACUGUCAAGCUAGAGUGCAGAAGAGGAAGGUAGAAUUCCCGGUGUAGCGGUGAAAUGCGUAGAGAUCGGGAGGAAUACCAGUGGCGAAGGCGGCCUUCUGGACUGACACUGACGCUGAGGUGCGAAAGCGUGGGUAGCAAACAGGAUUAGAUACCCUUGUAGUC
rnacentral:rRNA from 1 species